AUGCAGAUGGUAUAUCUGAACUUUGACGACGGUGGGAGCGUACUUUAUCUUGCAGAAUGCUCGUGUUCUCGAGCACAUGGAAACACAGCCAAGGGUCGCGGCCGGUAUGUUCCCCAUUUCAGGAUCAUGGCGCAGGCAUUGUUGAGAGGCACCUGUUGGUGUCCACUUCGUAUGUCUCUGCAGGUAUUGCUUCACAAAGCUUAUUCAUAUGCUCUCCGGUACCUCCUUUCUUGCCCAACAUAUCACACACACAGGGACAGGGUACUUCCUCGUGAAGCAGACCUCUGCUCCGAGAGCCUCGCACGGUAA
rnacentral:rRNA from 1 species